UGGUUUGGCUACAGUGGGGAGAGACAUGCUCUCCCAUAGUGUUUGCUUUAUUUCUUUUAUUUUUUGUUCUAAUUCAUUUUUUACUAAAUUUGGUUAUAGUGUAUUUUUUUCUUUCUUGCUCCCCAGCAGUUUGACUACCUGGGGAGGCGGUUUUUUUUUGUUAUUAUUUUGGUAGUUUGUUGGAUAGUCUUUGCUACAAUAACAAAGACAAUGGCUGAAUACGAUAGAUAAUUCAAAGAAUACACAAUAAUACUUGAAACUGAGAAAAUUAAAGGACUGAAAGCAACUGAUAUUUUGAAGACGGUCGUUGAAAUAGUUGGACAUGUAAAAUUACUUGCUUUAAGACCACGACAACAGGCGGAAUACGUGUUAACAUUUGCCGAUAAUGAGUCAAUGAAACUAGUAGAAGAUGGAAUUUUAAUCAGUGGAACGCAUUGUGAAACCAGACUGCUUGAAAAUAAUGACAUCGUCGUGUCAUUUCUGUAUCUGCCUGUUUAUUUAUCAGACAGCAUUAUAACAGAAAAACUCAGACUGUGGGGUGUCACACCCCUACAUCCAAUUAGAAGGAGAUAUUACCCAGGAACAGAUAUAACCGACGGGACAAGAUAUGUAAAGGUGCGAUUCCCAAAGGAAAUCGUGUCCUUGCCAUACAGCACUAAAUUCAUCACAGCAGAGGGUCCACAAUAUGUCAGAAUCAUACAUGAUCGGCAGGUGAAGACUUGCCGAUUAUGUAUGAACACUGGACAUAUAAUGAAGGACUGCCCAAAGUUUGUAUGCAGAGAGUGCUGUGAACAGGGACACCACGCGAGGGACUGCACUGCGGCUAAGUGUCCAGACUGCAGGAGAGCACUCAUCAGCUGUGAAUGCCAGGAUGAGGGGGAAUCAGCUGAACCUAUGGAGGAAACACCGGCAGAAAUAGAAGAUACUGAGUCGGAACAUCAGCAAAGCCGGGUGACGGACACAGGGAAAAGCAAUGACCGAGUGGCAGAGCAACAGGUCGGAGCAGCGAGAAAGACAGUAUCUACAGAAACGAAAGAUGACGACAUAGAAAAGGAAUCGGCAAUGGACGAGGAUACAGAUCUGGAAUUAAAAAUGGUAAAAGUAAGAGGAACACUGGAUAACAAUGGACGGACGACGAGUACAGAACGACGCGGAACUAAUUGGGGAAGAAAACUUGGAGACGGAUGUGCGGAAGACGACAGACUGGAGAGUAGAAGGAGAAAAAGAAUAACGACACUCAAUAUACAAAAAGUUAUAGAAAAACAGAGAGAAAGAAGGGAACUAAUGAAAGGACUAAAAAAGAAUCUAAGGACUGGCACGUUUGAUGGGCUAACGGAAGAAAUGUUGGAAUAAUGACUACUGCAUUGUUGCCAUUAAACACCUCCGUAAGGAUGGCUCGGACCUGUACAUCACCGUUCCUGGCGAGACCUGCAAGCUCCAUCUAGAGGUGGCUUUAAUGCCAGCAGCGGCGACACUCGGCACAUGUGGCAAGGCAUCCAGUCCAUCACCAACUACAGGCCAGCUCCACCUGCCUGUGACAGUGAUGCCUCCCUUCCAGAUGUGCUGAACAGCUUCUACGCUCGGUUCGAGGCACAAAAUGACGUGACAGCGAGGAAGACCAGCCCUUCUUCAGAGGACCAGGUGCUCUGUCUCACCACGGCUGAUGUGAGGAAAACUCUACACAGAGUUAACCCACGGAAAGCUGCUGGACCAGACAACAAUUCUGGCAGAGUGCUCAGGGAAUGUGCAGAACAGCUAGUAGACGUCUUCACGGACAUCUUCAACAUCUCCCCGAGCAGCGCCGUCGUCCCAACGUGCCUAAAGUCAACCACUAUCAUCCCCGUGCCGAAAAAGUCUCCAGUGUCCUGUCUCAAUGACUACCGUCCCGUUGCACUCACACCCAUCAACAUGAAGUGCUUCGAGAGGCUCGUCAUGAGACACAUUAAGAACCUGCUGCCCCCGUCACUUGACCCCAUGCAGUUUGCGUAUCGUCCAAAUCGAUCCACAGACGAUGCCAUCACCACAACCCUCCAUCUGGCCCUCACACACCUGGACAAUAAAUACACUUACCUACGAAUGCUGUUCAUUGACUUCAGUUCAGCAUUCAAUACGAUCAUUCCUCAGCACCUGAUCUAGAAGCUGAGUCUGCUGGGUAUCAACACCUCCCUCUGCAAUUGGAUCCUGGAUUUCCUGACUGGAAGACCUCAGUCAGUCCGGAUCGGGAACAGCAUCUCCAGCACCACCACACUGAGGGCUGUGUGCUCAGUCCACUGCUGUUCACUCUGCUGACUCACGACUGUGCAGCAAUGCACAGCUCUAAUCAUAUCAUCAAGUUCGCCGAUGACACGACCGUGGUGGGUCUCAUCAGCAAGAACGACGAGUCAGCAUAUAGAGAGGAGGUGCAACAUCUAACAGCCUGGUGUAAAGUCAAUAACCUGUCUCUGAACGUCGACAAGACUAAAGAGAUGGUUGUUGACUUCAGGAGAGCAAAGAGUGAACAUUCUCCACUGAACAUUGAUGGGUCCAUCGUGGAGAUCGUCAAGAGCACCAAAUUCCUUGGUGUCCACCUGGCAGAGGACCUCACCUGGUCACUCAACACCAGCUCCAUCACCAGGAAAGCCCAGCAGCGUCUCUAUUUCCUGCGAAGGCUGAGGAAGGCUCAUCUCCUACCUCCCAUCCUGACCACCUUCUACAGAGGGACCAUCGAGAGCAUCCUUAACAGCUGCAUCCGCAGACAUUUACUCCACUCGCUGCAUCCGCAAAGCUAACAGCAUUGUGGAUGAUCCCACACACCCCUCACAUGCACUCUUCACCCUUCUACCAUCUGGAAAGAGGUACCGAAGCAUUCGGACCCGCACAACCAAACUGUUGAACAGAUACUUCCCUGAGGCUUUCAGAUAUCUCAACAGAGAACUGAGCUGAGCUGGACACACACACACACACACAACCAAGAUCUGAUCUCAACAUAGAACUGAGCUGAGCUGGACACACACACACACACGUACAACCAAGAUCUGAUCUCAACAGAGAACUGAGCUGAGCUGGACACACACACACACACGUACAACCAAGAUCUGAUCUCAACAGAGAACUGAACUGUGCUGGACAUGUACUCGCACACACAUACAUAACGCACAUGCACAAAAGCUGAGAACUGUGUUCCAAGAGGAACUGAACUGUGCUGGACACACACACACACAUACUAAAUUGUCCUGUUUGCAUGCACAUUCACUUUACAUUUCACUUUAUAUUAAUCCUGUUUACAUGUCAAUUUCAUAUUUAUAUUCACUGUAUACACUGUUCUUUGCGCAAAGUGUCAGUUUUAUAUCUGCAUGUCUAUAUGUUGUUUGUCUGCACUGUCUUGUCUUGUCGUCCUGUGCACUUCUGUUGUAUGUCUAGUUUAUUUCUUGCACCUUAAGUAUAGUUUAGUUUUAUCUCUAUGUUUAGCUUUAUGUUUGUCCGCGUCACUGUACUUUGUCUGUGUUAUGUGUAGCACCUCUGGUCUAGGAGGAACGUUGUUUCAAUUCACUGUGUACU